GGCUCAGGAUGAACGCUGGCGGCGUGCCUAACACAUGCAAGUCGAACGGAGAAUUACGCUGAUGAAGCUCGGCAGAUCUGUAAAUCUUAGUGGCGGACGGGUGAGUAACGCGUGGGCAACCUGCCUCAUACUGGGGGAUAACAGCUGGAAACGACUGUUAAUACCGCAUAAGCGCACGGUAUCGCAUGAUACAGUGUGAAAAACUCCGGUGGUAUGAGAUGGGCCCGCGUCAGAUUAGCCAGUUGGCAGGGUAACGGCCUACCAAGGCGACGAUCAGUAGCCGGCUUGAGAGAGUGACCGGCCACAUUGGGACUGAGACACGGCCCAAACUCCUACGGGAGGCAGCAGUGGGGAAUAUUGGACAAUGGGGGAAACCCUGAUCCAGCGACGCCCGCGUGAGUGAAGAAGUAUUUCGGUAUGUAAAGCUCUAUCAGCAGGGAAGAUAAUGACAGUACCUGACUAAGAAGCCCCGGCUAACUACGUGCCAGCAGCUGC
rnacentral:rRNA from 1 species